UAGAAGCUCUUCUCUUUCCGUACUCUCAUAUUUUUCUUGCUUAUUGCCUGAUCUAUCUUAACUUCUACUAGCGGUUCUUUUGGAGAUCCUAUGUUGGUUUGACCUCCCCAUACCCACCUAUUCGUAUGAUUCUAUUAUUAAAAAAACAUUUUAUCAUGGAUAAAUGAGCAAGGGUCCAUUUAGUUUGGCUUCCGGGGCUUCCACAGGGGACUCCGCAUUAUUGCAAACUGUUGUUUUUAAUAAGUAAACAUGCUAUUUCUGGCUCGACUAAUUGAUGCAAUUUUGCAUGCACUCAGUGUUGCCGUUUAUAUCUCAAUUAGUUCAGAAAGAUAUCGUUUUUGUAUGUGAUUGUGAGAUAUCUGUUAUUCACUUUAGUAUUCAUCUGGUUGUGUGUGUUUUGAGUAUUUGCAGUAAUUAAUCAGCUGUUCGAUAUUCCAUAAUACCGUAUGAAGGCCAGUUGCAGUUACAUCACCAUUCAGCGAAGUACUCUUAUCUGGACUCUGGAGCACAAAUGGAGAAAGUAACUAUGCUUCUACAGUAUAUUGAGCUGAAGGUCCUGUAUUUGACUAUUUGUGGCUAUCAUGAGGUAGAGUUACGAUGAAGUCUCAACAUCCUGUUGUUGUAAGUUUUACUGUUCUUUUAAUUAAGUUUAUGAGUCAUAGUCCAUCAAAUGCUAAUUCCAUAGUUCGAUACAGACCUUCUGUUCUAAACUCUAAUCGGCAUAACCGUGCUUUAAUAUUGAGUCUAUGACUAUGACAUGGUUAAUCAAUUAGAGACACGAUGUUCUUUAAGAAGCUAGAUUAGAAAUACCCAUAUAUUAAUAUGAAAAAAAUUCUGAAUCAUGUAGGAGUUCCAUUUGAAUAAAAUGAAGAUAGUUCUAUCUUCAAAUAUAAAAUAUAUAUUGUACAUAGUAGCAUCUAGGCUCUUGCGCUGGAAUUUUAGGCAGUUUUCGGUCAUUUAUAAAACAAAUGCAGUUGUAAAAAAAGUGAAACUCUAAUCGCUCAGUGCAUAUUGUUAUGGUGGCCUUCUUCAAACAUUGCAUUCACAUAUGCGCUCUAGGAUCUGCGGCUCUGCUAACUGCAUAGGUCCUCCAUACUCCCUUCAAUAAAUAUUUUUUACAGGAUGAAAUGAUCCUUAUUCAUUGUGGUAGAGCACUUCAGGGACCUCUCGAGUCUGGUAAAUUCAGAGGAUAUUUGAAUCCUUUCUACGUGUUAUCAUCCAUGGCAUGCCUAACUAGGGAGCAGGAGAUGAAUCUUGACAAGGCAGCUCGCUCCCUUCAGUCCUAGGUUCCCAUUUACGUGUUAAUGAUAAACAACAUUAGUGUUGUUGGCAACAACAACACCAUAGCAAGUAAACAAUUUUUCGGCACUCAUUUCAUCUGUCAACACUAUCAUUCACUGUAUUCUUGAACAUGGUAACAUUUCAGCUAAUCUGUUUGUUUUAUCGCGACACAUUUUAUGUGGAAAAGACCCAUCUCCAAGGUAUGCUGCCAGUUUCUCACAGCCGAAGAGCAUCAGAGCAGAUUGUGACACUAUGGACUCCUGAGGGCAGAGAGGAUCAAGACAUGAGAAGUCAACUUGUAGCCGAGGAGUGGUACCACACAGCCGCUCACGUCAGGAAGCCAAGAUAUCUACAUGUUCCACCUGACAAUGAAUCAAAUGGCCUAACGAUGAUUGGUUAAAACCUUGUGUUGAUUUUGUGCAUACCAUGUCAAGUACUGUUUUCCCUCAUUUGUACACACUUUGCUCACUAACGUUUUAUGUCAAUGAUGUACUAUGCAUAUGUAGGAUGGUAAUGAAUAGGAAGAUAUUUUUGGUCCAGUUUUUGAAGUACGAUGAGAACAAAGCUAAAUACAAAAAUUCUGCCA